rnacentral:rRNA from 1 species
UACGAAGGGUGCAAGCGUUACUCGGAAUUACUGGGCGUAAAGCGUGCGUAGGUGGUCGUUUAAGUCUGUUGUGAAAGCCCUGGGCUCAACCUGGGAACUGCAGUGGAAACUGGACGACUAGAGUGUGGUAGAGGGUAGCGGAAUUCCCGGUGUAGCAGUGAAAUGCGUAGAGAUCGGGAGGAACAUCCAUGGCGAAGGCAGCUACCUGGACCAACACUGACACUGAGGCGCGACAGCGUGGGGAGCAAACAGG